CCACGAUAAAACCUUAGAUAUUUUUGCUAAUUGAUUAUUAUAAAAGAAGAAAUUGGUAAUAUAGUUGAACAAAUGUGUAUGUUGUGGAGUUGGUAUUUGGCUGAUGAUACAUAGUUUGAUAUUAUUGGAGAAGUUAAUUUAGUCGUUGCAACAAAUCAUUUUAAAAUUUCAGCAUUUACAGUUGUUACUUUGUUGAUAAGUUCAUGGAUAAUAACUGGUCUCAUAAUCUAGAGGUCAUAAAAAUUAAAACAAUCACGAUGGAAUCUUAGUUAUUUUUGCUGAUUGAUUAUUAAAAGAAGAAACUGGUAGUACAUUAUUUCUAGUUGAAAUAAUGUGUAUGUUAUGGAGUUGAUACUUGGCUGACAA